GAAGCUGCGUGUGGGAAGCGCUCUUGGUGGGAAACGUUCUUGUUGGGCUUGUGGGCUGGUUGCCGCCUUGCAUCGUGAGACCACCUCGGGCAUGGAGAGCUGCACACGGUAGAAGAAGCACGAGGCACCCAGGUCACGCCGCUACGGAGCCGCACCAGCCCCGGGUAUCUUACCUCUGGAGCUGAGUGAUGAAGGAGAAGUAAACCACUCUUUAUAAUUUUAGUUUAUCAAAGAAGCCCUGGGAGCCAAGCCUACUCCUAAUGAACAUAAUCAUACAUGUUAAAAUCGUCUUUUCUAUGGGUUUGAUACGAGACACAGUUUUAGAAGGCAGCUCGUUGAACAACCUCAGUGCUUGCAUACAGCAAGUGCUCACUACGUAUCUAUAGAGUAACUGAACGGAUGAAUGAGGGAAGAGGUGUCACCGUGUUCCUCACUGUGUCCUUGCGUUGACACUGGAGCAGGCUUUGGAGACAGGAAGACCUCAGAAAUGCUUCACAAUGUGAUGGAAAGCCUGUUCUAGAUGAGAUUAAGGACUCUCCCCACACGGAGACUUCAAAUGCAUGAUGCUUAUAACAAGACCAGAGCUGGAAGAUUUCCUGAAGUGGGAGAAAGGAAAGCGCUCCCUGCCUGCUUGGAAUUGCUGUGUGCACGAUGCCCUGCAGAGAGAGAGAAGAGAGCAGGCUGGAUGCCUUCCAGAAACCAGAAGGGAAGCUGAUUCCUACUUGGGAGGGUGUUAAAAAUCUGAUGAGCAGGGCCGACAGACCGAGGGGAAAAAGUGGAGGAGAAAGGGAGACGUGUGAGCAUCUUUUCCAAUUUUUGUUGUUUUCUUACAGCCAAAUGCCUGGAAAUCUGCGGCAUCAGCAAUUCCCUGUCCCCAGCACAUAGUAAGCGCUCAGGAAAUGUACACUGAAUUGGAGUUGAAUUUGGCCGAUGAGGGUUUGGAGGUUGUGUUAGCUGCUGUGAUCUGAUUCAACCAAGUCUCACCGCACCCCCCCCCCCCCCAACUCCCACCUUCGCUGGUGCAUUCAUAUCACCUAAUAAUCUGUCACCAAGAGCAACAGCCUUUGGCUGUGUCACAGGGAAGAAUCCAGCCCUUCCCAGGGGAUAUCCCCAGCACAGGAGACUGCCCCGCUCCACCCACACACUGGGUCUCUGAGUCAGAAGGGCGUGUUUCUGCAACUAAUUUUACUACUCUUGUUUCUACCUCCUUGAUAAAACUUUGCUAGCAUUUUAGGGAAGGGGUCUGCACCAGCUGAGAUCCCAAGAGUAGUUUAUCCUGAUAAAGAGGAGUUUCCCUGAUCACCUCCCCUCCUGCUUCUUCAUUUUCUGUCCUUAGACAACUGGGGGUGGGGGGAGGGGAACAGACUGCGCUGUAAACAGCGUCGUCUCCUGCAGCUCGUCUGCCUGGCAAGGACUCUUGGAAUUAUAGAUAAUUAGUGAAGUUGUAGCAGCCAGCUAACUCGGCACCAGUGCAAAGCUACUGGGUUAGUGAGUGGAGUAUAUCCAAGGAAAGGGAUUAUUCCAAGCGUCGGUUACGGGCAGAUGCAGUUGCCUUGUACCUCCCAGGCUUUUGUGUGGACAGCAACAAACCAACCAGACAAAACUCUUGGCUCACUUGGGGCUUAUAUUCUAAUGAUCCAUCUGUCUGUCCGUCUUAUGCAGUGACCUGAAAUAACGCAGACAAUAAAAUUACACACCCACACACAUCAGGAUCAAAGGAUAUGUCAAUGAGAAGGGAAGGUCAACAUCAGAGAAGAAAAGAAAUACCAUGAGGCAAUCCAUAGGGUCCUACAGAGUUGCCAAUGCUAAAUGGGAACUUAGGCCUGGGGCUCCCUGACGGCCAAGGUGGAGAGGGCAAGUGUGUCACACACAUGAGUCUUACUGUUCAGAAAGGGAUAUCACCACUUUCCCUAUUUCCUUUCACAAUAAAAUCUGUUAUCUAAUCCUAGGACCUUACUUAAUAAGCCUUGGAACAAUCUUAUGAUUCAGUGGCCAUUGUUAUCCCCACUUUACAGAUGGAAAACCUGGGUCUUUAAAAAAGUUGAGUGCCUUUUCCAAGGUCACUUGUGGAAAGUGGCAGAGCUGAAGUGAAUUUUCAGCAGUCUAAAUUCGGAGCCAGUGUUCUUAACCAGAUACAGUUGGCCCUUGAACUGUGCAGUAAAAAAUCCAAAUAUAACUUUUGACUCCCCCAAAACUCAAUUAUUAAUAGUCUACUGUUUCCUGGAAGCCUUACUGAUAACAUAAACAGAUGAUUAACACAGUUUCUAGGCUCUAUGUAUUCCAUACAGUAUCCUUACAAUAAUAGAAGCUAGAGAAAAGAAAAUGUUAAUAAAGUCCUAAGGAAGAGAAAAUACAUUUACAGUACUGUACUGUGUUGAUAUAAAAAAGAUCUGCAUGUAAGUGGACCCACGCAGUUCCAACCUGUGUUAUUCAAGGGUCAGUGACUUCAAUGUCUCUCCCCCAGGGCAAACUGGAAAAGUACAUGAAUGGUCCUUGGGCAAAAGCCUAAUUGCCCCAGGAGAUGGUCUCCUGCCAGAGAUCUGGGAGGGAAAGAAGGGGAGAGGCACAUCCACAUGAAGUGGGAAAAUGAUAUUAAGUACUUAAUUCAUCAGCUUCCAGACCCAAGACAUCCCAAGAAUGGGGAAACCAGGGGUGUUAGGUCUCAGGCUUCAGAUGGCCCCCGGCUAAACUAGUCUGAUAAUCUUGUACCCAUCUCUUGUUGUCAUAAAGGCAGAAAUAAGUGAAAAACAACUCCCCCUCCCACCCCCAUUAGCUUGGCUCUGCCUAUUCUCAGGCUUCCUCCUUGCAGUGGAGCCUCUUAGGUCUGGAAGGGGUGCUGCAGUGCUUGGGAAAAACAGGGGUGGGGGGCGUUCUCCAAGGUGCUGAAGCAAGUGGCGCUUACUUUUUGGAUUGGCUGCUUGCCUCUGAGUCACUACUUCUGGUAACCACAUGAGUGGGAAAAAAACAAAACAAAACAAAAAACCCCACUCCUCAAAAUAGGAGACAAACUGCAUGACCAAGCUGGGAAAAUAUACCAGUUUGUACCCAUUCAAGUUUAUUUACAGGUGAUACCAAUCCUGAGAGGUCACACAGGGUUAAUAAAGUGUGUAGAAUGGAUUCUGGAGUUGGACUGCAUUGGCUCAGCAGCUCAGAAGCUGAGAGACCUUGGGCAGAUUCCUUAAUGCCUUCUUUUUUUUUUUUAAGAUUUUAUUUAUUUAUCUGACAUACA